UGCCCCAUGGCUUAGUUGGCUAUAGCGUCCGACUGUUAUUUCUAGCAGGUGCAUCGGAAGGUCGAGAGUUCGAGCCUCUCUGGGGCAG